UCCAGCCUGUUGGAUGUGUUGUGGCAGCUCACUGCUAUCUAAAUCUCCAUGACCCUAUCACUGGCAGGGAGACUGAGGUGUCACAUUAAGCAGGCGAAACAUCAGUAGCUACGCCAGUACAAAAAAUGGAAUACUGCGUGGAGCAAUACGAAACUCCUCCGUGAUUCCCGCGGGCGCGCAGAGCCAAGGAUGGCGAGGCUGGCGAACUCACAGAGACUGCGGCAAACUCACAGUGACGGCGGCGAACUCACAGCGACGGCCACCCACUGCAUCACCUGCAGCCUCGGACUCCGUCCCACACUGUUCACGCAGGAACUUUAUGCAUGGAAAUGGCUUUCCCAAUCCCCGGGAUUGUAAGAGCAAGGUUAUUGCAGCUGCAUGGGCACAUAAAAAAAGACAGGAAAUGAAAUGUCGACAGCAAGUGUAAUACCUUUCUAAUCUAUGUCCUUCACUUAUUGAGACAGUUACCGGGAUGUUCUUGAAAGAAGAAUGAUUUGUUUAUAAACCAGGUACAUUAUUUCAGCUCUUUAGAGGAGGACAAAAAUGUCUUCAUCCUAUUUUCCUCUCCCCACAUCAUCCAACACAAUAUUUUCUACAUUUCUUUGAAUGCGCAUUCAUUUAUUCAUUCACUCACAGCUAAUUCCUGGGCACCUACUAUGUGCUGGUUACAUCGAGAAUAUUGAGGCUAAAUGCGUUGUCCUUGUUCCCAAGCACCUUUCCGUUUAGUAGGGAAAGUCAGUCACGCAAACAAAUCAGAGCAAUAAAACAUUAUAGUUGUUAUGAUAGAAGUAUAUGCAGACUACACAGGGAGACACAAAAGGGAAUGUUUAAUUCUGCCUGGGGAGAAAGAAAAGACUUUAUGAAGGAGGUGGUGUUUGAUGUGGUUCUUAAAAUAUGAGUGAUUUUACAGGCAGACAACAGGGAGAACAGCUUCCUUAGCCAAAGACAAUGGGGAGCUGAAAGUAGCUCAGUGCAGAACGGGUCAGAGGAGGGGACGCUUGGCUUCCUGCAUGAACUGUGAAGGCAGAGCGUGUCAGGGCGGAUCAUGGAGGAUAUAUGGAGUCAGAUGGAGGAGGUUAGACUUGAUCGUGUGAGAAAUGAGAACACUGGUGGAGAUGUUAAGCCAGGGAGUGACACAAGCAGCUUCUCAUUUUAGAAAGGGACUGUGCUGGUUGGUGAAAUAAGAAGUGGGAAUAGGCAGUAGGACAUCAGUGACGAGGAUCUUGCCAUGAUCCACGUAAGUGAGGACAGCCUGCUGGGCUGAGACAGGGUGAGCCAGGUAAGGGACCGCACUCUGCUGAGUUAUUCCCACCCUCUUUCCUACAUCUCCAGCCCCUGCCUUGCUCCUAACCUAUCAGCAUUGAAAGAUGCUUCAGGACCCCUCAUCUUAAAAACAAAACAAACUUUCUUCUACCCACACGGUUCUAUCUCCUUCACUCCUAGACUUCUUCAAUGUGGUAUCUUUUCCCAGUGU